rnacentral:rRNA from 1 species
UUGGAGGGCAAGUCUGGUGCCAGCAGCCGCGGUAAUUCCAGCUCCAAUAGCGUAUAUUAAAGUUGUUGCAGUUAAAAAGCUCGUAGUUGAAUUUCGGGAUGAUCAGGUUGGUCGUGCCAUUGGUAUGUACUAGCUUUGGUGGUUCCUACCUCUUGAAGAACCGUAAUGUCAUUAACUUGGUGUUGCGGGGAAUCAGGACUGUUACUUUGAAAAAAUUAGAGUGUUUAAAGCAGGCAAACGCUUGAAUACAUUAGCAUGGAAUAAUGAAAUAGGACGUUUGAUCUUAUUUUGUUGGUUUCUAGGAUCGACGUAAUGAUUAAUAGGGAUAGUUGGGGGCAUUAGUAUUCAAUUGUCAGAGGUGAAAUUCUUGGAUUUAUUGAAGACUAGCUACUGCGAAAGCAUUUGCCAAGGAUGUUUUCAUUAAUCAAGAACGAAAGUUAGGGGAUCGAAGACGAUCAGAUACCGUCGUAGUCUUAACCAUAAACUAUGCCGACUAGGGAUCGGAUGAUGUUAACCUUUUAAUGACUCAUUCGGCGCCUUACGGGAAAC